GGCCAGAGCCCUCCGGAUGUCCAGAGUGUGCAGGCUGACGUCUGUCUGCGAAGAAUGCGGUUUUGGGAAAAAGGCGGGAGAAAGCCGGUUCACCGGAGUCCCGGUCUGAGGUUCCUAGUCUCAAAGAAAAAAAAGGAAGGCUUGCUUACUAUCACUCUGAGCACUGUAAUGUUGUUCUACUAUUAGUGCACAGAUAUCUCUUGCAGAGGUUUUACUAAGGACUGCCUGAAUAUUUA